GACGAACGCUGGCGGCGUGCCUAAUACAUGCAAGUAGAACGCUGAAGUAGGAGCUUGCUCUUCUGGAUGAGUUGCGAACGGGUGAGUAACGCGUAGGUAACCUGCCUGUUAGCGGGGGAUAACUAUUGGAAACGAUAGCUAAUACCGCAUAACAGUAGAUGUUGCAUGACAUUUGCUUAAAAGGUGCAAUUGCACCACUACCAGAUGGACCUGCGUUGUAUUAGCUAGUUGGUGGGGUAACGGCUCACCAAGGCGACGAUACAUAGCCGACCUGGGAGGGGGAACGGCCAAACUGGGACUGAGACACGGCCCAGACUCCUAAGGGAAGCAGCAGUAGGGGAACUUCGGCAAUGGACGGAAGUCUGACCGAGCAACGCCGCGUGAGUGAAGAAGGUUUUCGGAUCGGAAAGCUCCGUUGUAAGAGAAGAACGAGUGUGAGAGUGGAAAGUUCACACUGUGACGGUAUCUUACCAGAAAGGGACGGCUAACUACGUG
rnacentral:rRNA from 1 species